CUCGUCGCUUCUCAAUCGUGUCCCGUGAAGUCCACAAGAUUGUUGUUGUACUUGGGUUCUUUUUUUCCUUCUUUUCUCUUGCAGGAAAUACCAUCCUUUAUUUAUUUAUUUUUGAGGUAAUGGGCAGCUGCACCCUCUUAUUCAUUCAUAACUGAUUCAUUACAGAUAAUGGUCCUGAUUACAUCAGGGAAACCAUUAAGCCAACAGGACGAAACAUCAUGCUCCGCCGAUUUAGCCAGAACAUGUGCUGCCUCACUACAAGAACGAUUGACAUGGAUAAAAGUACAAGAUACAAACUUUGUGGCACAUUUUUUCAUAUCAUGGACUAUGGCUCCAGUAGGGGACCUAUCAAAACCUAAACUCUUGAUCUUGUUAACCUACCAUGAUCUUCCUAAUACCAGUGUUACUGGCAAGGAUUAAGACUUGACGAAGUGCCAUGGCUUCUGCUCCUUCAGGAAUUUGAACUCAUUCAAAGUAGCCUCUGUUCACCGCCUGUGCACCCUUCCCCGGUGAUUAUGUAUCACCGGACCAAAGCCCGCUCUUGCAGAUUGGGAGAAGAUUGCUGCAUCCACGUUGACGAGCAUCGACCCCUCCGGCGGCUGAGGUGCUUGCUCAUAUGCUAAGGACUUGGUUUCCUCGCUAGCUCGGUGUCAAUGCACUCCAUCACUCGUUCCAGUUGUCUUCCUCCCAGUGAUCUGUCCAAUCAAUUCCUCCAAAUUUUGAGUACCUCUUCAUCAUAAUCAAUAUCUCCAUAACUAUUGAUAUAUAGACUAAGAUUGUAUA
rnacentral:rRNA from 1 species